rnacentral:rRNA from 1 species
GACGAACGCUGGCGGCGUGCUUAACACAUGCAAGUCGAACGGAAAGGCCCUGCUUUUGUGGGGUGCUCGAGUGGCGAACGGGUGAGUAACACGUGAGUAACCUGCCCUUGACUUUGGGAUAACUUCAGGAAACUGGGGCUAAUACCGGAUAGGAGCUCCUGCUGCAUGGGGGGGGUUGGAAAGUUUCGGCGGGUGGGGAUGGACUCGCGGCUUAUCAGCUUGUUGGUGGGGUAGUGGCUUACCAAGGCUUUGACGGGUAGCCGGCCUGAGAGGGUGACCGGCGUCAUUGGGACUGCGGUACGCACCAGUCUCCUACGGUAGGCAACAGUGGGGAGUAUUGUACAGUGGGCGGAAGUCUGAUGCAGCGGCGCUGGGGGCGGAAUGACGGCCUUCGGGUUGUAAACCGCUUUCGGCUGUGACGAAGCGUGAGUGACGGUAACGGGUAAAGAAGCACCGGCUAACUACGUG